rnacentral:rRNA from 1 species
UACGUACGAGGCAAGCGUUAUCCGGAAUUACUGGGCGUAAAGCGCGCGCAGGUGGCGAAGUAAGUGAGACGUGAAAUCUCCCGGCCUAACUGGGAGGGGUCGUUUCAUACUGCUUGACUUGAGGACUGCAGAGGUGGGUGGAAUUCCGAGUGUAGAGGUGAAAUUCGUAGAUAUUCGGAAGAACACCAGUGGCGAAGGCGACUUACUGGACGAUUGUUGACGCUGAGGUGCGAAAGCGUGGGGAGCAAACAGG